GAACUCAAAGGAGNCNNCCGGUGAUAAACCGGAGGAAGGUGGGGAUGACGUCAAGUCAUCAUGGCCCUUACGAGUAGGGCUACACACGUGCUACAAUGGCGUAUACAAAGAGAAGCGAACUCGCGAGAGCCAGCGGACCUCAUAAAGUACGUCGUAGUCCGGAUCGGAGUCUGCAACUCGACUCCGNGANNNNNGAAUCGC
rnacentral:rRNA from 1 species